rnacentral:rRNA from 1 species
GACGAACGCUGGCGGCGUGCUUAACACAUGCAAGUCGAACGGAAAGGCCCUGCUUUUGUGCGGCGCUCGAGUGGCGAACGGGUGAGUAACACGCGAGUAACCUGCCCUUGACUUUGGGAUAUCUUCAGGAAACUGGGGCUAAUACCGGGUAUGAGCUCCUGCUGCAUGGUGGGGGAUGGAAAGUUUCGGCGGUUGGGGAUGGACUCGCGGCUUAUCAGCUUGCUGGUGGGGUAGUGGCUUACCAAGGCUUUGACGGGUAGCCGGCCUGAGAGGGUGACCGGCCACAAUGGGACUGGGGUACGGCCCAGACUCCUACGGGAGGCAGCAGUGGAGAAUAUUGCACAAUAGGCGGAAGCCAGAUGCAGCAGCGCCGGGUGCGGGAUAACGGCCUUCGUGUUGUGAUCCGCUUUCGCCUGUGACAAAGCGUGAGUGACGGUAAUGAGUAAAGAGGCACCGGCUAACUACGUG